rnacentral:tRNA from 1 species
GGGGGUAUAGCUCAGGGGUAGAGCGCUCGCUGCAUGCGAGAGGGCUGGGGUUCGAUUCCCCAUACCUCCA